AUUGAACGCUGGCGGCAUGCUUUACACAUGCAAGUCGAACGGUAACAGGCCUUCGGGUGCUGACGAGUGGCGAACGGGUGAGUAAUGCAUCGGAACGUACCCAGAGGUGGGGGAUAACGCAGCGAAAGCUGUGCUAAUAUCGCAUGUGAUCUGAGGAUGAAAGCGGGGGACCGAGCAGCAAUGUUUGGCCUCGCGCCUUUGGAGCGGCCGAUGUCGGAUUAGCUAGUUGGUGGGGUAAAGGCCUACCAAGGCGACGAUCCGUAGCUGGUCUGAGAGGACGACCAGCCACACUGGGACUGAGACACGGCCCAGACUCCUACGGGAGGCAGCAGUGGGGAAUUUUGGACAAUGGGCGCAAGCCUGAUCCAGCAAUGCCGCGUGCGGGAAGAAGGCCUUCGGGUUGUAAACCGCUUUUGGCAGGAACGAAACGGUGUCCGCUAAUACCGGGCGCUAAUGACGGUACCUGCAGAAUAAGCACCGGCUAACUACGUG
rnacentral:rRNA from 1 species